ACUCCAGGUGGGUUCUAACAGAAGCGACAUGUGAAACCACUAAGGACAGAGACCUAGUUUCCUAGGGAGCCUGUGCCAACAUCAAAGAUGGAUGGAAGGAUUAGCAAGUGUUGACGUUUCCAUGCGCUAUCAGCUGUUGGCGCAAAGCAACCACAGUCUCACAGGCUCAAGAGGACAGCGCCGCCGCCGGCUGGUGAAGGGGCUCAGAAUAGUUGACCCAUGAGUCAACAGAAGUAAAGGCAAACCCGAGGAGGGCCCCGGGUCCUUAGGACAGAAGAGGAGGUGCGUCGAUGGCAUCCCUUCAGGCUGGCGUGGCAUCCCUAGCUGGAGGAAGCACCCUGUUGAUCUUGAGUGCAGAGCUGAGUCUCCCAGGGCUGUUAGUCACCCACAGUCCUGGUCCUUAUCUUGUAGAUGAAGUGGUUGGAUUGUUCCACGCCGAGGUUCUAUCUAAGGCAGAGGCCUGUUUAAACGUAGGGAACAAAGCAGUGCUUUGCCAUCCAGCCCCAAGAAAAACAAAAUGCGGCUUCCGGGAGGAGGAAGCCUUGCUGCCGAGCCUGGUGAGAUGGGUAGAGUUAGGAGUUUUUGCCAAAGGGAGAGAAGGCGCCAAGCCCAGGGCGGAGGCCCAGGAGCCGAAGACAGCGUAAGUCCCAGCUAUGAAGUGAGCAGUUUUCCUCCUGCGACGCGCCUUGCCGCAGGCCUAACACAGCAGGGCUGGCUGAAACACAGACGGAAACCUCCCACGCCGGCCCACUCUGAAUCUUUAGCUGUUUACCGCCAGUGCUUUGCCAGCCACAGAAGGUGACUAGGAGAACUGGAAGGAAGGGAAACUUCGGGAAGACUGAUGAGGCAACAGAGUGUGGUCAGCCUGAGGCAGGAAAGGGGCUGUAGUUGGGACCAGCAGCCUCUCUCCACACUGGGCACAUGGCAUGGCUUGUCUUGCUUUGGCAUGGGAGGUGGUGGUACGGAAUUUCCUGAGGGAGCCGUGAACAGGCGCAGGGGGACCCACCCUGCCAUCUGCUGUAUUAUUAAAGACAGAACCCUUCAAUUUUAGCCAGACACAUAAAGCCACGUAACUACAUAUGGUCCAUGACUUGACUUCUAGAAAAGAGCUUUCCCAGGGACUGGAAGGUGGAUGACGGCUGGAGCCCAGUGGCUCUCUUGAGCCAUGAGGUAAAAGUUCACGCCUAGAAUGAUGGAGCCGUCAGAUGCUGGUUCACAGUGAGGGCCGCUUUACCACACCUGUUCCACACUGCCGAGCACACACUCAUGGAAACUUUCCUGGAAGAGAAAGGUGCGUGUCCACAAGACGUCAUCUCCCACCACUCUCAGCACUGAAAAGACCCAGUUAUUCACCCGAAGAUUGAUAUGUGUGGGUGUAGAGUUUUGGAGGUGGGAGAACCACUGAUACUAGGCCAUGAUGGCCUAUAGACACAUUUUUCUUCAGUGCACAACUUGCUCGUCCGCUCCUGCUAGAAAAGCUCGUGUCCUCUAUGUCCCUUGGCUCCUUCUCCUGGAAGGACACCCCUCUCUGUUCCCUAGGUCCUGGGCAGUCUGCUCCUAACUGACAUAAUCUCUCUUCCAACCAGGAGCAAUAGACUUGAAGACAAAGCCGGGUGUUAUACAUGCCUACCGUCAGGGUAGGAACAUUUCAGGUUCAAGGCCAGCUUGGUCUACAUGGUGAGACUCUGUCUCUAAACUAAAUGAGGACACUGGUUCUCCGAGUUAGAAUUGGAUGUGUGCACUGCCCUUUGUGAACUGGACCUCGUCGCUGAGCAGCGGCUUCUAGAUAGAAAAUCUUUCAAGUGGCCUCUGUGAUUGCCACUGUUUAGUUCUUAAAGCUUUCUUAAUUCCUAAUGUGGCAUAUCACGUGAUCUCUGUCCUAAAGGAUGCCUUGUUCCAAGUCCUGACUGGUGGGGUCAGGGAAAUGACAAUUACGGAAGAAAUAG